rnacentral:rRNA from 1 species
GAUGAACGCUGGCGGCGUGCCUAAUACAUGCAAGUCGAGCGAACAGAUACGGAGCUUGCUCCUUUGACGUUAGCGGCGAACGGGUGAGUAACACGUGGGUAACCUACCUUUAAGACUGGAAUAACUCCGGGAAACCGCGGCUAAUGCCGGAUAACAAUUAGAACCGCAUGGUUCUAAAGUGAAAGAUGGUUUUGCUAUCACUUAUAGAUGGACCCGCGCCGUAUUAGCUAGUUGGUAAGGUAACGGCUUACCAAGGCAACGAUACGUAGCCGACCUGAGAGGGUGAUCGUCCACACUGGAACUGAGACACGGUCCAGACUCCGACGGGAGGCAGCAGUAGGGAAACUGCCGCAAUGGGCGAAAGCCUGACGGAGCAACGCCGCGGGAGUGAGGAAGAUCUUCGGAUCGUAAAACUCUGUUAUUAGGGAAGAACAAAUGUGUAAGUAACUGUGCACGUCUUGACGGUACCUAAUCAGAAAGCCACGGCUAACUACGUG